GAGAAAUCAAGCCAUGUAGGGCAAUUGUGUACGAGUGUGAUUCCGUAUGUUGGGAUAACAUCAGAGUCAACACUCGUUUUAUUUUUGUGGUUGUGCGUGUUGUUUCAACAUUCAGCACAAUAUUUUGAUCCAGAAGAAGCAACACUAACAAGUGGUAUCAUAGCGGUCACUCGACACACUAAGUGUGAUCCUCGUUGUUAUCAAAACAGUUGCUUCAACAUGGAGUCCAAAAAUCUCGGAUUUAUGCAACCACCAAUUCUGGAUGGUGCAAAUUGCUCUUUCAAGAAGUACAAAUGCAGGGGGAGAACAUCCAUUUCGGGGGAGAUUUAAAGGCUUAUUGGUUUUGUGAAGAAAGGCAAAAAUGGGGGUUUGUUGGAGUUAAUUUUUAACUCAAGUAUUAUUUUGUUUUGCCUUUCAUCAUGUUUUUGCAGGCCUUAAAACAAAGUCAAAGUCAGUUCCUACAAGAUAGGAAACAUGGAGAAAUGAAGAGAAGGGGUUGAGAGAGUUAGUUCCUAAAAUCAUGGAUAAAACCCUAAACUACCUCAACCUCCACUACUCCACUUCUUGCAACCACGUUUUCAGCCUUGAAGAACAAGAUUGGAGUUGUCUAUAAAAGCUGAGGAAGUUCCCUCAGUCUGACCAGAGCUUACAGAGAGAAAUCAAGCCAUGUAGGGCAAUUGUGUACGAGUGUGAUUCCGUAUGUUGGGAUAACAUCAGAGUCAACACUCGUUUUAUUUUGUAAGGUUUCGGAGUAUUACUCUUGAACCGAGUUUUGUUUUUUUAGUGAGAGUGUCAUGUGUUAAAUACCUAGAGUCUUGUAAAGGUAUUGAACGUGAGUUGUUCAUUCUCGAUUUAGUCUUUUGCCAUGAGACAUCUUCAAGUUAUAAUUUAUAACUUGAAGAAUUUUUCCA